CAGCAGCCGCGGGAAUACGAAGGGUGCAAGCGUUACUCGGAAUUACUGGGCGUAAAGCGUGCGUAGGUGGUGGUUUAAGUCCGUUGUGAAAGCCCUGGGCUCAACCUGGGAAUUGCAGUGGAUACUGGGUCACUAGAGUGUGGUAGAGGAUAGUGGAAUUUCCGGUGUAGCAGUGAAAUGCGUAGAGAUCGGAAGGAACACCUGCGGCGAAGGCGACUAUCUGGGCCAACACUGACGCUGAGGCACGAAAGCGUGGGGAGCAAACAGGAUUAGAGACCCCCGUAGUCCCUGUCUCUUAUAA
rnacentral:rRNA from 1 species